UGGGGAAUAUUGCGCAAUGGGCGAAAGCCUGACGCAGCGACGCCGCGUGAGGGAUGAAGGUCUUCGGAUCGUAAACCUCUGUCAGAAGGGAAGAAACUAGGGUGCUCUAAUCAUCAUCCUACUGACGGUACCUUCAAAGGAAGCACCGGCUAACUCCGUGCCAGCAGCCGCGGUAAUACGGAGGGUGCAAGCGUUAAUCGGAAUCACUGGGCGUAAAGCGCACGUAGGCUGUUAUGUAAGUCAGGGGUGAAAGCCCACGGCUCAACCGUGGAACUGCCCUUGAUACUGCACGACUCGAAUCCGGGAGAGGGUGGCGGAAUUCCAGGUGUAGGAGUGAAAUCCGUAGAUAUCUGGAGGAACAUCAGUGGCGAAGGCGGCCACCUGGACCGGUAUUGACGCUGAGGUGCGAAAGCGUGGGGAGCAAACAGG
rnacentral:rRNA from 1 species